GGCGGGGUAGCUCAGUUGGUGAGAGCGCACGACUCAUAAUCGUGAGGUCGCGGGUUCAAGCCCCGCUCCCGCUACAA
rnacentral:tRNA from 1 species